GGAUGAAGGCCUUCGGGUUGUAAACUGCUUUUGUACGGAACGAAAAGCUUCGGGUUAAUACCCUGGAGCCAUGACGGUACCGUAAGAAUAAGCACCGGCUAACUACGUGCCAGCAGCCGCGGUAAUACGUAGGGUGCAAGCGUUAAUCGGAAUUACUGGGCGUAAAGCGUGCGCAGGCGGUUUUGUAAGACAGAGGUGAAAUCCCCGGGCUCAACCUGGGAACUGCCUUUGUGACUGCAAGGCUAGAGUACGGCAGAGGGGGAUGGAAUUCCGCGUGUAGCAGUGAAAUGCGUAGAUAUGCGGAGGAACACCGAUGGCGAAGGCAAUCCCCUGGGCCUGUACUGACGCUCAUGCACGAAAGCGUGGGGAGCAAACAAGAUUAGAUACCCUGGUAGUCCACGCCCUAAACGAUGUCAA
rnacentral:rRNA from 1 species